rnacentral:rRNA from 1 species
UGCCUCUCGCCCAACCCAUAAGAGGUAUGUCCUGCCCAGUGAAAAUUUUCAACGGCCGCGGUAUCCUGACCGUGCAAAGGUAGCAUAAUCAUUUGCCUCCUAAUUAGAGGCUAGUAUGAAUGGAUUAACGAAAAUUUUUCUGUCUCCACUAUAUUAAUAUAAAUUAGCCUUUAGGCGAAAAGACCUAAAUUUCGGUAAAAGACAAGAAGACCCUAUCGAGCUUAAUUAAAACCAGGUUAGACACGAUAAUAAAGCUUAACCUCUCUCUUGGCUAUAAUUUAGUUGGGGCAACUAAGGAUAAAACCCAUCAUCCUAAAAAUCCACGAUAAACAAAUCAUCCCAUAGAUCCACAAAGUGAUCAAAGAACAAAGCUACCGUAGGGAUAACAGGCUAAAUUUUCCCAAAGAGCCCAAAUUAAUGGGAAAAAUUGGCACCUCGAUGUUGGCUUAAAGUUUCCCUCAGGAGCAAACACUUGAAAAGGUUGGUUUGUUCAACCAUUAAAACUUU